rnacentral:rRNA from 1 species
CAGCCGCCGCGGUAAUGCGAAGGGUGCAAGCGUUACUCGGAAUUACUGGGCGUAAAGCGCACGUAGGCGGCUUUGUAAGUUAGAGGUGAAAGCCUGGAGCUCAACUCCAGAAUUGCCUUUAAGACUGCAUCGCUUGAAUCCAGGAGAGGUGAGUGGAAUUCCGAGUGUAGAGGUGAAAUUCGUAGAUAUUCGGAAGAACACCAGUGGCGAAGGCGGCUCACUGGACUGGUAUUGACGCUGAGGUGCGAAAGCGUGGGGAGCAAACAGGAUUAGAUACCCCUGUAGUCCUGUCUCUUAUACA